GUGUACGUUUGCUAUUACCGAAGUGUGUCAGAUAAAUUUAUCUUUAUCUCCAGCCGAUAUCUGUGCCGGUUGUUCAUUCUGUAUCUGCAGUAAAGUGCUUCCAAUGGCCAUACACGUUAAGUGCUGCGGGCCUCUAUUGGUUAUGGUAGGUGUUGCGGAGGUUGUUGCGCCCCAUCCUGCAGCUGCUGCUGCCCGACCAUAACCAUCUACACAUGCUGCACCAAGAUCUGCUAGUUUCGUGGUUGCCUCGGCCCGGACAUGCCAACAUGCCGUUGCUUGGUGCGGGCUGAGGCGCCCCGUGUCGGCUCUUCGUCGUAAACUAGUGCCGUGUUUGUGUAAAAAUAAA